GAGGGUAGAGCCUAGUGGUAGGGCACGUGCUUAGCAUGCACAAGAUCCUUGGUUCAAUCCCCAGUCCCUCCA
rfam:Camelus ferus unplaced genomic scaffold scaffold1303, whole genome shotgun sequence.